rnacentral:rRNA from 1 species
UACGUAGGAGGCAAGCGUUGUCCGGAAUUACUGGGCGUAAAGCGCGUGUAGGUGGUGGGACAAGUCUGCUGUGAAAGCGCCUGGCUUAACCGGGCGAGGUCGGCGGAAACUGUUCGACUCGAGGACGGUAGAGGGGGGUGGAAUUCCCGGUGUAGUGGUGAAAUGCGUAGAGAUCGGGAGGAACGCCUGUGGCGAAGGCGGCCCCCUGGGCCGGCCCUGACACUGAGACGCGAAGGCGUGGGGAGCGAACGGG